ensembl:snRNA U6 U6 spliceosomal RNA
UUAAAAAAUGUUCUAAAGUGCAGAUUUCUGGAAUGAUACAGAGAAGAUUAGCAAGGCCCUUGCGGCAGCUGACAUGCAAAUUCAUGAAGCCUGCCCUAUUUAA